rnacentral:lncRNA from 1 species
CGCUUUCAGAAGCUAGGUUUGUUCCUUGCUUAGAGGUCACCCUUUUAUACUCAACUCCAUGUUACUGGGGGGGCUUCUGCUAGAUUCCACCAACAGGACGAACAAGAGGGAAACAAAGGCAAGAGGAAGAAGGGACUUGCUCCAUUCUAAUCAGCCUUAUUGCACCCCUCAGAGAUCACAGCAGCAGUCAGUGCUCUCCUCAGAGAUCUGAAUUCUACUUUCAUGCGGCCCCUCCCCUGAGCUCCUGAGAUAGCCAAUGUUUGAGCCACCUCCUCAGAAGUUUGAGCCUCAACACCGUGGGAUCCCUUCUUUGUGCUCCAGAGAUCCAGUAACAGCCAGCCAUCACCCUCUCUUCAUUCUUCAUAGGCCUGAACUAAGGUGUUCAGGGCCCUCCUUCAAGCUUUUAGGUUCUGAUGACUCCAACCACUUCUUUUGUUCCAUCCUUUCCUAGCUCUAGGAAUGGUAGCUGCUACCUGCAGUGAUUACCUGUUACCUUUUAUAAUUCCUUUUGACCAAUUUCCCAUAUUAAAAUAUUUCUCAAUAACUAAUGUGA